rnacentral:rRNA from 1 species
AACAUGUGGUUUAAUUCGAUGAUACGCGAGGAACCUUACCCGGGCUUGAAAUGCAUCUGACCGGCCUUGAAAGAGGUUUUUCCCGUUCGGGCAGAUGUGUAGGUGCUGCAUGGUUGUCGUCAGCUCGUGCCGUGAGGUGUCGGCUUAAGUGCCAUAACGAGCGCAACCCUCAUCAUUAGUUACCAUCAGGUAAGGCUGGGGACUCUAAUGAGACUGCCAUCGUAAGAUGUGAGGAAGGUGGGGAUGACGUCAAAUCAGCACGGCCCUUACGUCCGGGGCGACACACGUGUUACAAUGGGUGGUACAAAGGGCAGCUACCUGGCGACAGGAUGCUAAUCUCCAAAACCACUCUCAGUUCGGAUCGGAGUCUGCAACUCGACUCCGUGAAGCUGGAUUCGCUAGUAAUCGCGCAUCAGCCACGGCGCGGUGAAUACGUUCCCGGGCCUU